CGGGGUGAGUAAUGUCUGGGAAACUGCCUGAUGGAGGGGGAUAACUGCUGGAAACGGUAGCUAAUACCGCAUAACGUCGCAAGACCAAAGAGGGGGACCUUCGGGCCUCUUGCCAUCGGAUGUGCCCAGAUGGGAUUAGCUAGUAGGUGGGGUAACGGCUCACCUAGGCGACGAUCCCUAGCUGGUCUGAGAGGAUGGCCAGCCACACUGAAACUGAGACACGGUCCAG
rnacentral:rRNA from 1 species